GGAAGUAAAAAGUCGUAACAAGGAUUCCGUAGGUGAACCUGCGGAAGGAUCAUUAAAGAGAAUAUGCCCUUCGGGGUAGAUCUCCCACCCUUUGUUUAUACUACCUUUGUUGCUUUGGCAGGCCCGUCUUCGGACCGCCGGCUUCGGCUGGUCAGUGCUUGCCAGAGGACUCAAAACUCUUAUUAUUAAUGUCGUCUGAGUACUAUAUAAUAGUUAAAACUUUCAACAACGGAUCUCUUGGUUCUG
rnacentral:misc_RNA from 1 species